GACGAACGCUGGCGGCGUGCCUAAUACAUGCAAGUCGAACGCAGUGGGGACGGGUGAGUAACACGUGGGUAACCUCCCAUCAGAGGGGAUAACACUUGGAAACAGGUGCUAAACCGAUACUGAUGGAUGGACCCGCGGUGCAUUAGCUAGUUGGUGGGGUAACGGCUCACCAAGGCCACGAUGCAUAGCCGAACUACGAGAGUGAGCGGCCACACUAGGACUGCGACACGGCCCAGAAUCCUACGGGAGGCAGAAGUAGUGAAUCUUCUGCAAUGGACGAAAGUCUGACCGAGCAACGCCGCGUUAGUGAAGAGGGUUUUCGGAUCGUAAAACUCUGUUGUUAGAGAAGCGGUAUCUAACCAGAAAGCCACGGCUAACUACGUGCCAGCAGCCGCGGUAAUUC
rnacentral:rRNA from 1 species